rnacentral:tRNA from 6 species
GGGCGGUUAGCUCAGGGGUAGAGCACUGCCUUCACACGGCAGGGGUCACUGGUUCGAUCCCAGUACCGCCCACCA